GACGAACGCUGGCGGCGUGCCUAAUACAUGCAAGUCGAGCGAGCGGAACCAGCAGAUCUGCUUCGGCAGUGACGCUGGGAAAGCGAGCGGCGGAUGGGUGAGUAACACGUGGGGAACCUGCCCCAGAGUCUGGGAUACCACUUGGAAACAGGUGCUAAUACCGGAUAAGAAAGCAGAUCGCAUGAUCAGCUUUUAAAAGGCGACGUAAGCUGUCGCUCAGGGAUGGCCCCGCGGUGCAUUAGCUAGUUGGCAAGGUAACGGCCUACCAAGGCAAUGAUGCAUAGCCGAGCUGAGAGACUGAUCGGCCACAUUGGGACUGAGACACGGCCCAAACUCCUACGGGAGGCAGCAGUAGGGAAUCUUCCACAAUGGACGCAAGUCUGAUGGAGCAACGCCGCGUGAGUGAAGAAGGUUUUCGGAUCGUAAAGCUCUGUUGUUGGUGAAGAAGGAUAGAGGUAGUAACUGGCCUUUAUUUGACGUAAUCAACCAGAAAGUC
rnacentral:rRNA from 1 species